UCUUAGCCUAGUGGUUAAGGCAUCCGAGUAGCAUAUUUGAGGUCUUGGGUUCGACUCCCGGUGAGAG
rnacentral:tRNA from 1 species